AACGAACGCUGGCGGCAUGCCUAACACAUGCAAGUCGAACGAAACCUUCGGGUCUAGUGGCGCACGGGUGCGUAACGCGUGGGAACCUGCCCUUAGGUUCGGCAUAACUCCCCGAAAGGGGUGCUAAUACCGGAUAAUGUCUUCGGACCAAAGAUUUAUCGCCUUUGGAUGGGCCCGCGUUGGAUUAGCUAGUUGGUAGGGUAAAAGCCUACCAAGGCGACGAUCCAUAGCUGGUCUGAGAGGAUGAUCAGCCACACUGGGACUGAGACACGGCCCAGACUCCUACGGGAGGCAGCAGUGGGGAAUAUUGGACAAUGGGCGAAAGCCUGAUCCAGCAAUGCCGCGUGAGUGAUGAAGGCCUUAGGGUUGUAAAGCUCUUUUACCCGGGAUGAUAAUGACAGUACCGGGAGAAUAAGCUCCGGCUAACUCCGUG
rnacentral:rRNA from 1 species